CGCAAAGGCUUCACAACACCAAUGCCAGCCAAACAUCAUCUGGGUCCCGACGACAAUGGUAAAGAGUUCGAUCAAAAGGCAUACCGCUCCAUGAUUGGUUCUUUACUUUAUCUAUGUGCAUCUAGGCCAGAUAUUAUGCUUAGUGUUUGCAUGUGUGCUCGAUUUCAAGCGGCACCAAAGGAGUCGCAUCACUUAGCUGUGAAGCGAAUUCUUCGAUAUUUGGCUCACACCCCAACUCUAGGAUUAUGGUAUCCAAAGGGCUCAGAGUUUGAUCUGGUUGGAUUCUCGGAUGCUGAUUAUGCUGGUGACAAAGUUGAUCGCAAGUCUACAUCA
rnacentral:rRNA from 1 species